rnacentral:rRNA from 1 species
CAGCAGCCGCGGGAAUACAGAGGGUGCGAGCGUUAAUCGGAUUUACUGGGCGUAAAGCGUGCGUAGGCGGCUUUUUAAGUCGGAUGUGAAAUCCCUGAGCUUAACUUUGGAAUUGCAUUCGAUACUGGGAAGCUAGAGUAUGGGAGAGGAUGGUAGAAUUCCAGGUGUAGCGGUGAAAUGCGUAGAGAUCUGGAGGAAUACCGAUGGCGAAGGCAGCCAUCUGGCCUAAUACUGACGCUGAGGUACGAAAGCAUGGGGAGCAAACAGGAUUAGAUACCCCGGUAGUCCUGUCUCUUAUACA